GGCCUCAUAGCACAACUGGUUAGUGCACCUGCAUCAAUUAUAUUGUUAAGCGUUUGGUUUGCAGAAGAUCCCUGUUCAAUCCAGGGUCAGGCCA